rnacentral:rRNA from 1 species
AACGAACGCUGGCGGCAGGCCUAACACAUGCAAGUCGAGCGCCCCGCAAGGGGAGCGGCGGACGGGUGAGUAACGCGUGGGAAUAUGCCCUUUGCUACGGAAUAGUCUCGGGAAACUGGGGGUAAUACCGUAUACGCCCUUUGGGGGAAAGAUUUAUCGGCGAAGGAUUAGCCCGCGUUGGAUUAGGUAGUUGGUGGGGUAAUGGCCUACCAAGCCGACGAUCCAUAGCUGGUUUGAGAGGAUGAUCAGCCACACUGGGACUGCGACACGGCCCAGACUCCUACGGGAAGCAGCAGUGGGGAAUAUUAGACAAUGGGGGCAACCCUGAUCUAGCCAUGCCGCGUGAGUGAUGAAGGCCUUAGGGUUGUAAAGCUCUUUCAGCUGGGAAGAUAAUGACGGUACCAGCAGAAGAAGCCCCGGCUAACUCCGUG